CCUACGGGUGGCAGCAGUGAGGAAUAUUGGUCAAUGGACGAGAGUCUGAACCAGCCAAGCAGCGUGAAGGAUGACUGCACAGUGGGUUGUAAACUUCUUUUAUAUGGGAAUAAAAUGUUGCACGUGUGGGAGGAUGUAUGUACCAGAAGAAUAAGGAUCGGCUAACUCCGUGCCAGCAGCCGCGGUAAUACGGAGGAUGCGAGCGUUAUCCGGAUUUAUUGGGUUUAAAGGGAGCGUAGGUGGAGUGUUAAGUCAGUUGUGAAAGUUCGCGGCUCAACCGUAAAAUGGCAGUUGAAACUGGCAGUCUCGAGUACAGUAGAGGUGUGCGGAAUUCGUGGUGUAGCGGUGAAAUGCUUAGAUAUCACGAAGAACUCCGAUUGCGAAGGCAGCUUACUGG
rnacentral:rRNA from 1 species